GUGUCAGCAGCCGCGGUAAUACAGAGGGUGCGAGCGUUGUCCGGAAUCACUGGGCGUAAAGGGCGCGUAGGUGGCGGCCCAAGUCCAUGGUGAAAGCUCGCCGCUUAACGGCGAGUCGGCCACGGAUACUGGGUUGCUCGAGCACUGUAGGGGCUAAUGGAAUUCCGGGUGUAGCGGUGGAAUGCGUAGAGAUCCGGAAGAACACCAGUGGCGAAGGCGGUUAGCUGGGCAGUUGCUGACACUGAUGCGCGACAGCGUGGGGAGCAAACAGGAUUAGAAACCCCCGUAGUCC
rnacentral:rRNA from 1 species